CCUACGGGAGGCAGCAGUAGGGAAUCUUCCACAAUGGACGAAAGUCUGAUGGAGCAACGCCGCGUGAGCGAUGAAGGCCUUCGGGUCGUAAAGCUAUGUUGUUAGGGAAGAACAAGUACCGGAGUAACUGCCGGUACAUUGACGGUACCUAACCAGAAAGCCACGGCCAAAUACGUGCCAGCAGCCGCGGUAAU
rnacentral:rRNA from 1 species